CAUAGCGACUAUCGUGGCAUAUCAAUAAGCGGAGGAAAAGAAACUAACAAGGAUUCCCCUUAGUAACGGCGAGUGAAGCGGGAAGAGCUCAAAUUUGAAAUCUUCAAGGUUCUACCUUGACGAAUUGUAGUUUAAAGAAGUGUUUUCUGUUGGAGUUUUGGUAAAAGUUCUUUGGAAUAGGACAUCAUAGAGGGUGAGAAUCCCGUAUUUGACCAUUAUUUCAGCUGUGUGAUACACUUUCAAAGAGUCGGAUUGUUUGGGAAUGCAGUCCAAAAUGGGUGGUAAAUUUCAUCUAAAGCUAAAUAUUGGCGAGAGACCGAUAGCGAACAAGUACCGUGAGGGAAAGAUGAAAAGAACUUUGAAAAGAGAGUUAAACAGUACGUGAAAUUGUCAAAAGGGAAGCGUUUGACACCAGUGUUGUUUAGCUCGAAAAUCAAUUAAAAAUGCUGGGAUUUUGUGUUGUAUUGACUUUAUCAGCUUUCUGCACUUUUUUCCUGUCUUUUUUAAUGCACUUUUCGUUUAACAAGUCAACAUCAAUUUCUUUUGUUGUAAAAGGGUCAUUGGAAGGUGGCUUUCUUUUCGGAGAAAGUGUUUAUAGCCUUUGGCCUCUGCAAUCGGAGAGAUUGGGGUCUGCAGCGUAGAUCCUUCGGGGUUAGAUACAUUUGUGCUAAGCUAUAGCCUUUCAUAGACAACUUGUUGACUAUGAUCAGUCAUGUAGCUUACUCGCUUAUGCUAUUUUACCUACGCUUAGGAUGUUGACGAGACUGUCGAUCUC
rnacentral:rRNA from 1 species